GACGAACGCUGGCGGCGUGCUUAACACAUGCAAGUCGAACGGAAAGGCCCUGCUUUUGUGGGGUGCUCGAGUGGCGAACGGGUGAGUAACAGGUGAGUAACCUGCCCUUGACUUUGGGAUAACUUCAGGAAACUGGGGUUAAUAUCGGAUAGGAGCUCCUGUUGCAUGGUGGGGGGUGGAAAGUUUCGGCGGGUGGGGAUGGACUCGCGGCUUAUCAGCUUGUUGGUGGGGUAGUGGCUUACCAAGGCAUUGACGGGUAGCCGGCCUGUGAGGGUGACCGGGCACAUUGGGACUGAGAGACGGCCCAGACUGCUACGUGAGGCAGCAGUGGGGAAUAUUGCACAAUGGGCGGAAGCCUGAUGCGGCAACGCCGCGUUCGGGAUGACGGCCUUCGGGUAGUAAACCGCUUUCGCCUGUGACGAAGCGUGAGUGACGGUAAUGGGUAAAGAAGCACCGGCUAACUACGUG
rnacentral:rRNA from 1 species